AUCAUUACCGAGUUUACAACUCCCAAACCCCUGUGAACAUACCACUUGUUGCCUCGGCGGAUCAGCCCGCUCCCGGUAAAACGGGACGGCCCGCCAGAGGACCCCUAAAACUCUGUUUCUAUAUGUAACUUCUGAGUAAAACCAUAAAUAAAUCAAAACUUUUAACAACGGAUCUCUUGGUUCUGGCAUCGAUGAAGAACGCAGCAAAAUGCGAUAAGUAAUGUGAAUUGCAGAAUUCAGUGAAUCAUCGAAUCUUUGAACGCACAUUGCGCCCGCCAGUAUUCUGGCGGGCAUGCCUGUUCGAGCGUCAUUUCAACCCUCAAGCACAGCUUGGUGUUGGGACUCGCGUUAAUUCGCGUUCCUCAAAUUGAUUGGCGGUCACGUCGAGCUUCCAUAGCGUAGUAGUAAAACCCUCGUUACUGGUAAUCGUCGCGGCCACGCCGUUAAACCCCAACUUCUGAAUGUUGACCUCGGAUCAGGUAGGAAUACCCGCUGAACUUAAGCAUAUCAAUAAGCGGAGGAA
rnacentral:rRNA from 1 species